UAGUCUCGCGCGCUGGCUGGGUGCGAGUCCGAGAGCCUCCCCAAACGCUGAGGAGGGAAUGUGGCGCGCGCGGGAAGGGGCCGGCCGCAGCAUCAGGGCCGGCGCUGUCGUCCGCCUCCCUUUCCCCAGGCUCCGGAGCUGAGGCCCGAAACCGGAGCGCGGGGCGGCGCCGCUCCCUGGCCCCGGGCAUGGAGGCCCCGGAGGCGGCACCCGCUCAGGCUGAGGGCGCGGAGCCGGCGCCCUGGGCGCACCUAGAGGCCCCCGCCCGCCUCUUGCUGCAGGUGCUGCAGGCGGGGCCCGACGGGGCGCGGCGCGGCUUGGGGGUGCUGCGGGCUCUGAGCGGCCGCGGCGGGGAGCCCUUCGGCUGGGACCGCGUCUUCGAGGCGCUGUGCCGGGAGGAGCCAGUCGUGGAGGGCCCGGACUGUCGCCUGGAGCUGAAACCACUGCUGCUGCGCUUGCCCCCGCUAUGCCAGAGGAACCUGAUGUCCCUACUGAUGGCUGUUUGGCCGUCGCUGCCUGAAAGCAGUCUCCUCCCUGUGCUGCAGAUUGUGCACCAGGAUUCAAGCCCCGACCCUGAUCCCUGGCUCCGGGCCCUUGGGGAAUUUCUGCGAAGGGAUCUGGGUGUUGGGGCCUCUAUUGAGGGAGCAUCUCCACUGUCUAAAAGGUGCCAGAGACAGCUCCGAGGCCUGUGUAGGCAGCUGGGCCAAGGGGGCAGGAAGUUAAAGUCGCCCCAGGCUCCAAAUCCUGAAGGGAAAGAAGAGCAGGAGGAGGACAAGGACUCCCAGCGGCCUGGGAAACGCAGAAAGGAACCGGAGGAAGAGCCUGCCAGUCCUGAGGGGGAGAGGGCCCCCAAAAGGCUCCGGUGUUUGGAAAAGGAAGAAGAAAGCCAUGAGGAAAACAGACCUGAACCUGAAUCUUUGGAAUCCCUGGCCAAUGGAGGAGGUGCUUCAUCCAUUAAGAACCAGCCUGUUUUGGGGGCGAAGCCCAGUGAGGCUGGUCAGAGUCUAGAGGAUGCUAAGGGCCUACCUGAGAGUUUGGAGUUGCCCAGAGCUAUCCAGGAACAAGUUCCCAGGCUGCAGCAGCUGCUCAAGACCCUCGGGAAGGGGUUGGAAGGGCUGGAGGGCACCCCACCAGCUGAGCUGCAGCUUCUCCACGAAUGCAGUCCUGGCCAGGUGGACCUGGUGUGUGCCCAGCUGCAGCUCCCGCAGCUCUCAGACACAGGUCUCCUGCAGCUCUGCACCUGGCUGCUGGCCCUUUCACCAGACCUCAGCCUCAGCAAUGCUACUGUGCUGACCAGGAGCCUCUUCCUUGGACGGAUUCUCUCCCUGACUUCCUCAGCCUCCCGCUUGCUCACAACUGCCCUGACCUCCUUCUGUACUAAGUACACCUACGCCGUCUGCAGGGCCCUCCUUGGCCCUGUGCUCCAAGCCCCAGGAACAGGUCCAGCUCAAACAGAGUUACUGUGUUGCCUUACAAAGGACGAGGCCCUGGAGCCGGACAUGCAGGCUCUAAUGCUGGGACAGAUCCUGGAGCUGCCGUGGAAGGAAGAGACUUUCUUGGUGUUGCAGUCACUCCUGGAGCGGCAGGUGAGCAGGCUGCCUUGGGGAAGAGUGGACAAAGAAGCGCUGCAGUGCUGUGGCUGGGUGGAGAUGCCCUCUGAGAAGUUCAGUGUGUUGAUGGAGAAACUCUGUAAAGAGGGGCCAGCAGCCACCACGUCCAUGGCCUAUGCCAAGCUCAUGCUGACAGUCAUAACGAAGUAUCAGGCCAAUAUCAGUGAGCCCCAGAGGCUGGGACUGGCUGCAGCUCUGGAGCUCAAUACCACUUUCCUGAGGAAGUCCCUGCAGGCUGCCCUGAGACAUCUGGCCCCCUGACCAUCCACCAAGGGACCACCCUCCCGGACCUCCCUCAUCAGAUUCCCGAAGGACACUUCUGCCCUGAGCACCUCACCCUGCCCCUUGCCUGGGGGUCAGGGCUGAGCCUGGCCAUCCCAGGGGUCAACUGCCUCCCUGCUCCAGGCUGCAGAGAGGCCAUCUGGGCCUCCCAGCCAGCAGGAAGGGUCUGGGGCUAAGGGGGCUGGGUGAGUUGUAUUACCAAGAGCUGCUGAGCCUGGGCUGCCUCCUUGUCAUUUCUACCUCAGGCUGUGGGGACAGACACUUGAAGAUAGGCAUCAGACUUCCUUGAUGGUCCAGCGGUUAAGACUCCACACUUUGAGGGUCGGAUCCCUGGUUGGGGGAGUUCACAUGCCGUGAGAUGUGGCCAAAAUAUAAUAAUAAUAAAUAAAAUAGGAGUUAAGAUAGGCCUCAGUAGGGUCAAAGCAGACCCAGAGUGGACGACAGUGAUGCUCCAGAAGCCCCGGGAGACCUGUAUGCUUAGCACAAAUCUCUUGUGCUCAAGUGUAUAUUAUGAUCCUGUGUUGUUUCUGACUUGAAUAAUAAUUUCUCAGUGGUAUUUCAUAAAAAGCAGGAAGUUCAGUAAUGUCUUAUUAGAAGCAGUGCCUGCCUUCCUACUAACUCUGGGUGUUUGCUGAAAACUAACACAUACCACGCCACCCCCACCCUGCUCAGUGACAGGGGCAUCUUUUUCCAAGGGAAAUGUUUGGUGAGGGGAAGGUGGUAGAGUUAUGUGGACCAGAUUAUGUAUGAUACCACCCACCCCAGCCCUAUCAGAGCUGUCUGUUGAGUAGGUGGGCUGUGCAUCCCGUACAGGGAAGGGGGGCUUGAGGGUGAGAGUGACUCAGCCUGGAGUUGGGGAAGACUUUUGGGCAGAUGAUGGCUUUUGAGGAGGGAUCUAAGGGCUCCUGGGAUUACUGUGAGCAGAGAACAGGAUGAGGCCUAUUGGACAGGAAAGGCAGAAAGGGUGUGCAGUACUGUGGGCUUGUGUGUUCUACAACUAUAUUCCCACAGCACUUAGCUAGGCGCCUUGUUCAUAGUAAACACAACCUGGGGACUUCCUUGGUGGUCCAGUGGGAAAGACUCAGCGCUCCGAAUGCAGGGGGCCUGGGUUCGAUCCCUGGGCAGGGAACUAGAUCCCACAUGCAUGCUGCAACUAAUAGUUCCCAUGCCGCAAAUAAGAUCACACAUGCUGCAACUAAACAUGUCACAACGAAGAUCCAGCGCGGCCAAAAUAAAUAUUUAAAAAACAAAAAGACAACCUGUAGAUGGUACUGAGUCAACUAUCAGGUGAAAGUUCAUCACAGAACCUUACCCGCUCCUCCCCACUGCAGGCUCUGAGGCGCCAGGAAGAGAACUCGACAUUUCCCUUCCCGUAACUUCCUCAGAAGCCGUGAGCCCCCGUUAGAACAAGAUGAUGAGGGAGAGAGGUCAGGAGCAAAGCCUGCUUUUGAGAAGUGAAGCCGGUGCUAAGGUCAGGAGGAAGCCGGCGCAGGAGGUUUAAGGGACAAACAUGUCGGAAUUGCACGAUCUCAGCGGCCGAAACGGGGCGGCGCCCAGGAGCGUGACUACUGCAGCUCACCGCCCUGGGCCCAGCCUCUUCCCUAAGGGCCUAGGGCAGCAGCUGGUGGCAACGGGCGCCCGGGACCGCCGCAGGUCAGGUGGUCUCCGCGUAGGCCUAGCGGCGCAACACGCGACGGCCGCGACGCUCCACCCCCGGCACUGAGCGAUCCGACUGCUCUCAAGUGGGAAGCCGCGGGAGCAAGGCUUCUCUCGCGAUAACCAGGUCCUAUUUGAGCGCAUGCGCGAACUGAGGUUGUCUCUUUUCCGGUUAUCGCCGCGCCAAGGACAAUGAGGUUAGUGCAGCAAAGUCUCCCGAGACACUCUCUACGAGGCGGUGCGGGAAGUCCUGCACGGGAACCAGCGCAAGCGCCGGAAGU